UGUAGCUCAGUGGAUCAAUGUUUCUGGCUGUUAACCAGAAAGUUGGUGGUUCAAGCCCACCUGGGACAG